CAUAUGUAUGUAUGUAUAUUUAUUCAUGUGACCACAUUUCACAUGUGGUGCUGCUAAACUGCAUACAAAUGCGCAUACUUAAAAAUAAAGUGCAGAAUAAAGUUGCAACGGCUCUUUAAUGAAAUCAACCCACCUGCUGCAGUUCGAGAUUCCUUGGAAAAUUACACACUAGAGAUUAACGUAUUACAGAAACUCCGUUGUUAUUAUAAAAACAGGCAACGCCAAGGCAAAUAACAUAAGCCACAGCAAAUUUAAAUACACAUGUCGCUGGCAUUGCAGUUGUAAUUCCUGCUGCGGUUGUUGUUGUAGCCACCACCGCUGCUGUUGGGUAUUUAUGUGGCCUUAUGCGGCAGUUGUCGUUGUUCCGCCGUUCUGGCGGUGCUGCUCGGCGGAAAUUGUAUUGCGGCCAAUAUGAAACAGGCAGCAGCCGGAGCGGCAGCGGUGGGAGGGGCGCUGCGCCGAAAGCUACAAUGCGGUACGCCAUUACACCAAAAUACUAUCAUAAAAUUUCGCGCAAGCGUGUGUCUCGGCAUUUUAACCGAAACGGGUUUUGAGUCAUGCCACCACUUGCCACUCCUGCUCCUGCGAACAAGCCGCACACGCCCAGCAACGCAUCCUUGCAGUCGAGAACAGUACAUAAAGGGCACACAUGCAGCCAGGAUUGUUACCGUUGAUGUUGUUAGGGGCUGCGGUUGCGCUUAAAUGCGCCAUUAAAGCCA